GUCUUUGUAGCUCAGUUGGUUAGAGCGUUGGUCUCAUAGAAAUAUGACCUGACCCUCCAGGGUUGGGAUAUCCAAAGGUCGUGAGUUCGAGUCUCACCGAGGACA